AUUGAACGCUGGCGGCAGGCCUAACACAUGCAAGUCGAGCGAGGGGGACACGGGUGUAAAAUGUAGGGAGAUCUGCCUGAUAGCGGGGGAUAACCUCUGGAAACGGUCUCUAAUACCGCAUAGUCUCAAAUGACCCCAUAUGGGAUUAGCUUGGAGGUAAGGUAACGGCUUACCUAGGCGACGAUCCCUAGCUGGUCUGAGAGGAUGAUCAGCCACAAUGGGACUGAGACACGGCCCAGACUCCUACGGGAGGCAGCAGUGGGGAAUAUUGCACAAUGGGCGAAAGCCUGAUGCAGCCAUGCCGCGUGUAUGAAGAAGGCCUUCGGGUUGUAAAGUACUUUCAGUCGGGAGGCGUUACCGACAGAAGAAGCACCGGCUAACUCCGGGCCAGCAGCCGCGGUAAUAC
rnacentral:rRNA from 1 species